GACGAACCGUGCGAACGUUGUUCGGAAUCACUGGGCUUAAAGGGCGCGUAGGCGGGCAAGCAAGUCCGGGGUGAAAUCUUUCGGCUCAACCGGAAAAGUGCCUUGGAUACUGCUUGUCUCGAGGGAGGUAGGGGUUGCUGGAACUUCCGGUGGAGCGGUGAAAUGCGUUGAUAUCGGAAGGAACGCCGGUGGCGAAAGCGAGCAACUGGAUCUCUUCUGACGCUGAGACGCGAAAGCGUGGGGAGCGAACAGG
rnacentral:rRNA from 1 species